GGGGCCAUGCCCCAAUCAGGCUACAGCUGGCCCUAUAAAGGGACUGCUAGGCAGGUGCUAGGUGAGAGUCUCUCUUUAGCUAUAGAGGGAGAAGGGUCUGGCUGCCUGAGAACUGAGCAAGGUUCCUGAGUAGAGCAGUGCUGGGGAGCUCCUGCCUGGAAAAGCCCCAGGCUGUGGCCUUGCCAAAGGCCAAGUAGGUACUAAGGUUGCAAAGGGGCAGCCCAAGGGUUUUUGUUUUUUGAAAACUAAGUUUGAAUACUACUUUAAGUCUGGCCCUGAUCCUGAAUGAGCUUCAUACAGAUGGUUUACAGGAUUGAGAUCUUUGUUUACUCACUAGAAGAGGAGAAUGCUGGAAAGCUCCAAAGCAGACAUGCUAUCUGCACAUCUGUGUGGCCAUGUGUAAAUUUAUUCUGAAGCACUAUGUUGCAAACAUCCCCAAAACACACAUGGCAAUCAGCAGCAUCAAAUUAGAAGGGAAAAAAAUAUCAAGAAAGCAGAACAAUUAAUCUACCUGGGGAGCACUCAUAUUAGCCAAUGGAGACCUCAAGAAGGAAGUGACGUAAAGAGUAGGAAAGGCAUCCACAGCAUUUACUAAACUCAACCAUGUAUAGAAAUUAAAGUUAAACAGCAACAGAACAAAACUGAGAAUUUUCAAUUCAAAUGUAAUCUCAGUGCUAGCACAUGGCUGUGAGAGCUGGAGAGCUACUAAAACAUUAGAUGGAAAACUAGAUGCCUUCAAAAAUACAUGCUUGCAAAAGAUUUGGGGCAUAGCUUGUAAAGAUUUUGUCACCAAAGAAGAGAGCUGAGAAAUCAGCAAUGAGCAGCUUGCUUCCAUCAGAAUCAAAAGGAAGUAUUGGACAUAUCUGGGGCAUGUACUCCAGAUAUCAAUACACAUGCUUCUACAUGAAGCUGCCAAGUGUAAACCGACUGGUGUGAGGAAACAAGAGCACCCAAGAGAGACGUUAAGAAGAACACUUAACAGAGGGUAAAACAGUUGAUCUCAAUGCCCUAGAGCAAACAGAAGCAGGAGCAGAUUACAAAGAGGAAUGAAAGAGACUGGCUUCCACCCUGUGCACCAACUUUGCCAUGGGAAAGACAUAGAAUUAAGUUACUGAAAUUUACUGCCCAUUAUUUCUUCCAUAUAUUGAGUAUAUUGCAUUUAAAUGAGACAAUGAGUUAACAUCUCUGUUACACAAAGAGAAGGCUAAUAAAUAUUGAGAUUUGCUUCUUGUAUUUUAUGAAUUUUUAUGUAUUCUCUCAUGUAGGGGCAUAGUCAUGCAAUUUUCACAAAUUAUCUCACAGGUGCCAUUUCAACCUUGAAUGCCCAUUUCACAUACCGGCCCCUACUGAGGGAAAGCCAACAAAACGCAUUCACUUG